GCUUACAGCCAUACCACCCUGAGCGCGCCCGAUCUCGUCUGAUCUCGGAAGCUAAGCAGGGUCGGGCCUGUUUAGUACUUGGGUGGGAGACCGCCUGGGAAUACCAGGUGCUGUGAGCU
rnacentral:rRNA from 12 species